GGUCAAGUGAAUAAGCGCACAUGGUGGAUGCCUUGGCGAUAAGAGGCGAUGAAGGACGUAGUAAUCUGCGAAAAGCGUAGGGGAGCUGAUAAACGAGCUUUGAGCCUACGAUGUCCGAAUGGGGCAACCCACAUACUUUAGGGUAUGUAUCAUUAACUGAAUACAUAGGUUAAUGAGGCGAACCCGGCGAACUGAAACAUCUAAGUAGCCGGAGGAAAAGAAAUCAACCGAGAUUUCCCUAGUAGCGGCGAGCGAACGGGAAACAGCCUGCAAGUAAUAUUUAACGUUUUAGUGGAACAAGCUGGAAAGCUUAGCGAUACAGGGUGAUAGCCCCGUACACGAAAAGGCGUUAAAGGUACUAAGCUUGCGACAAGUAGGGCGGGGCACGAGAAACCUUGUCUGAACAUGGGGGGACCAUCCUCCAAGGCUAAAUACUCCUUAUCGACCGAUAGUGAACUAGUACCGUGAGGGAAAGGCGAAAAGAACCCCGUUUAGGGGAGUGAAAUAGAACCUGAAACCGUGUGCGUACAAGCAGUAGGAGCAGACUUGUUCUGUGACUGCGUACCUUUUGUAUAAUGGGUCAGCGACUUAAUUUAUGUAGCGAGCUUAACCGAAUAGGGGAGGCGAAGGGAAACCGAGUCUUAAUAGGGCGAUUAGUUGCAUGGAUUAGACCCGAAACCUGGCGAUCUAUCCAUGGUCAGGCUGAAGGUUGGGUAACACUAACUGGAGGGCCGAACCCACGUAUGUUGAAAAAUGCGGGGAUGAACUGUGGAUCGGAGUGAAAGGCUAAUCAAGCCAGGAGAUAGCUGGUUCUCCUCGAAAGCUAUUUAGGUAGCGCCUCAUGUAUCACUCUUGGGGGUAGAGCACUGUUUGGGCUAGGGGGUCAUCCCGACUUACCAACCCCAUGCAAACUCCGAAUACCGAGAAGUGCAAUCAUGGGAGACACACGGUGGGUGAUAACGUCCAUCGUGGAAAGGGAAACAACCCAGACCAUCAGCUAAGGUCCCAAAAUUAUGGCUCAGUGGAAAACGAGGUGGGAAGGCACAGACAGCUAGGAGGUUGGCUUAGAAGCAGCCACCCUUUAAAGAAAGCGUAAUAGCUCACUAGUCGAGUCGGCCUGCGCGGAAGAUGUACCGGGGCUUAAGCCAUAUACCGAAGCUAUGGAUGCCGUACUUAGUACGGCAUGGUAGAGGAGCGUUGUGUAAGUCUGUGAAGGUGAGUUGAGAAGCUUGCUGGAGAUAUCACAAGUGCGAAUGCUGACAUGAGUAACGAUAAAGGGGGUGAGAGGCCCCCUCGCCGAAAAUCCAAGGUUUCCUGCUCAACGCUAAUCGGAGCAGGGUGAGUCGGUCCCUAAGGCGAGGCAGAAAUGCGUAGUCGAUGGAAAACAGGUUAAUAUUCCUGUACCGGUUGUUACUGCGAUGGGAUGACGGAGAAGGUUAGGUUAGCCAACUGUUGGAUAUGUUGGUUUAAGUGUGUAGGCGUGCUUUAUAGGAAAAUCCGUAGAGCUAAGCUGAGGCAUGAUGACGAGUCUCAAUGGAGACGAAGUAACUGAUACCAGGCUUCCAGGAAAAGUCUCUAAGCUUCAGGUAACAAACGACCGUACCCCAAACCGACACAGGUGGAUGGGAUGAGAAUUCUAAGGCGCUUGAGAGAACUCGGGUGAAGGAACUAGGCAAAAUAGCACCGUAACUUCGGGAGAAGGUGUGCCCUUGUUAGGUGAAGCGACUUGCUCGUGGAGCUGAAGAGGGUUGCAGUGAACUGGUGGCUGCGACUGUUUAUUAAAAACACAGCACUCUGCAAACACGAAAGUGGACGUAUAGGGUGUGACGCCUGCCCGGUGCCGGAAGGUUAAUUGAUGGGGUUAUUCUUCGGAAGAAGCUCUUGAUCGAAGCCCCGGUAAACGGCGGCCGUAACUAUAACGGUCCUAAGGUAGCGAAAUUCCUUGUCGGGUAAGUUCCGACCUGCACGAAUGGCGUAACGAUGGCCACACUGUCUCCACCCGAGACUCAGUGAAAUUGAAAUUGCGGUUAAGAUGCCGUAUACCCGCGGCUAGACGGAAAGACCCCGUGAACCUUUACUACAGCUUUGCACUGAACUUUGAACCUACUUGUGUAGGAUAGCUGGGAGACAUUGAAGCGAGGACGCCAGUUCUUGUGGAGUCAACCUUGAAAUACCAGCCUGGUAUGUUUGGAGUUCUAACCUCGGUCCAUUAUCUGGACUAGGGACAGUGUAUGGUGGGUAGUUUGACUGGGGCGGUCUCCUCCCAAAGAGUAACGGAGGAGCACGAAGGUACACUAAGUAUGGUCGGACAUCAUACGGUUAGUGCAAUGGCAAAAGUGUGCUUGACUGCGAGACAGACACGUCGAGCAGGUACGAAAGUAGGUCAUAGUGAUCCGGUGGUUCUGAAUGGAAGGGCCAUCGCUCAACGGAUAAAAGGUACUCCGGGGAUAACAGGCUGAUACCGCCCAAGAGUU
rnacentral:rRNA from 1 species